rnacentral:misc_RNA from 1 species
UCCCUGUUGCCAGGGCAGUCUAGCUAGAAAAAUCCAACUAACUAUAGGGGUUGCGCUCGUUGAUGGACUUAACCAAACAUCUCACGACACGAGCUGACGACGGCCAUGCAUCACCUGUCACUGCGUUCACAAGGCACAGUCUCCUUUCGGAGACCUUCGCAGGAUGUCAAGUCUGGGUAAGGUUCUUCGCUUAUCAUCGAAUUAAACAACACGCUCCACCGCUUGUGCGGGUUCCCGUCAAUUCCUUUAUGUUUUAAGCUUGCGCUCGUACUCCCCAGGCGGGGCGCUUAAUGCGUUAGCUACGGCACGGAUCCCGUGGAAGGAAACCCACACCUAGCGCCCACCGUUUACGGCGUGGACUAC